GGGGGUAUAGCUCAGCCGGGAGAGCGCUUGAAUGGCAUUCAAGAGGUCAGCGGUUCGAUCCCGCUUAUCUCCA
rnacentral:tRNA from 1 species